GGGACACGUGGUAUCCUGUCUGAAUAUGGGGGGACCAUCCUCCAAGGCUAAAUACUCCUGACUGACCGAUAGUGAACCAGUACCGUGAGGGAAAGGCGAAAAGAACCCCGGCGAGGGGAGUGAAAAAGAACCUGAAACCGUGUACGUACAAGCAGUGGGAGCACAGAGCAAUCUGUGUGACUGCGUACCUUUUGUAUAAUGGGUCAGCGACUUAUAUUCUGUAGCAAGGUUAACCGAAUAGGGGAGCCGAAGGGAAACCGAGUCUUAACUGGGCGUUAAGUUGCAGGGUAUAGACCCGAAACCCGGUGAUCUAGCCAUGGGCAGGUUGAAGGUUGGGUAACACUAACUGGAGGACCGAACCGACUAAUGUUGAAAAAUUAGCGGAUGACUUGUGGCUGGGGGUGAAAGGCCAAUCAAACCGGGAGAUAGCUGGUUCUCCCCGAAAGCUAU
rnacentral:rRNA from 1 species